rnacentral:rRNA from 1 species
UCAGGCCUAACACAUGCAAGUCGAACGAAGUAGCAAUACUUAGUGGCAGACGGGUGAGUAACAUGUGGGUAUCUACCCUUUGGCCUGGAAUAACACGAGGAAACUUGUGCUAAUACCGGAUAAGUCUUUACGGAGAAAGCUUUAUGCACCAUUGGAUGAGCCCGCACUUGAUUAGUUUGUUGGUGGGGUAAUGGCCUACCAAGACUGUGAUCAAUAGCUGAUUUGAGAGGAUGAUCAGCCACAUUGGGACUGAGACACGGCCCAAACUCCUACGGGAGGCAGCAGUGGGGAAUCUUGCACAAUGGAGGAAACUCUGAUGCAGCGAUGCCGCGUGAGUGAAGAAGGCCCUUGGGUUGUAAAGCUCUUUCGUCGGGGAAGAAAAUGACUGUACCCGAAUAAGAAGGUCCGGCUAACUUCGUGCCAGCAGCCGCGGUAAUACGAAGGGACCUAGCGUAGUUCGGAAUUACUGGGCUUAAAGAGUUCGUAGGUGGUUGAAAAAGUUGGUGGUGAAAUCCCAGAGCUUAACUCUGGAACUGCCAUCAAAACUUUUCAGCUAGAGUUUGAUAGAGGAAAGCAGAAUUUCUAGUGUAGAGGUGAAAUUCGUAGAUAUUAGAAAGAAUACCAAUUGCGAAGGCAGCUUUCUGGAUCAUUACUGACACUGAGGAACGAAAGCAUGGGUAGCGAAGAGGAUUAGAUACCC